rnacentral:misc_RNA from 1 species
AUGAUCUUGCUAAACCAAAC